AGAGUUUGAUCCUGGCUCAGAACGAACGCUGGCGGCAGGCUUAACACAUGCAAGUCGAGCGAACUUUCCAGCUUCGGUUGGACGGUUAGCGGCGGACGGGUGAGUAACGCGUGGGAACGUGCCCCUGGGUACGGAACAACCGUUGGAAACGACGGCUAAUACCGUAUGACCCUCCCCUUUAGCGAUAUUGGGGAGGCAAAGAUUUAUCGCCUGGGGAUCGGCCCGCGUUGGAUUAGGUAGUUGGUGGGGUAAUGGCCUACCAAGCCGACGAUCCAUAGCUGGUUUGAGAGGAUGAUCAGCCACACUGGGACUGAGACACGGCCCAGACUCCUACGGGAGGCAGCAGUGGGGAAUCUUGGACAAUGGGGGCAACCCUGAUCCAGCCAUGCCGCGUGAACGAUGAAGGCCUUAGGGUUGUAAAGUUCUUUCAGCAGGGAAGAUAAUGACGGUACCUGCAGAAGAAGCCCCGGCUAACUCCGUGCCAGCAGCCGCGGUAAUACGGAGGGGGCUAGCGUUGUUCGGAAUUACUGGGCGUAAAGCGCGCGUAGGCGGAUUGUUAAGUCGGGGGUGAAAUCCCGGGGCUCAACCCCGGAACUGCCUCCGAUACUGACAGUCUUGAGGUCGAGAGAGGUGAGUGGAAUUCCGAGUGUAGAGGUGAAAUUCGUAGAUAUUCGGAGGAACACCAGUGGCGAAGGCGGC
rnacentral:rRNA from 1 species